UACGUAGGGGGCAAGCGUUGUCCGGAUUCAUUGGGCGUAAAGAGCGUGUAGGCGGCCAGGUAGGUCGGUUGUGAAAACUGGAGGCUCAACCUUCAGAGGUCGACCGAAACCAUCUGGCUAGAGUCCGGGAGAGGAGAGUGGAAUUCCUGGUGUAGCGGUGAAAUGCGCAGAUAUCAGGAGGAAUACCAAAGGCGAAGGCAGUGUCCUGGGGAGUGUCUGACGCUCAGGCGCGAAAGCUAGGGGAGCGAACAGG
rnacentral:rRNA from 1 species